AGCGUACCAUGCGGGCGUGAAGGCCCAUCGAGAACUGGUGCACGAAUGCACGGCCGUC
rnacentral:sRNA from 1 species